ensembl:lncRNA
UUUUUUUUUGUUGGUGAAAAUAGUAAUGGCCUAAAACUCUUGCACAGCACGCUAUAUUUAUAGCUCUUAGUGUGAUCAGGCCAUAAGCAAACACAGCUGGUAUGAUGUUAGAAACUAUUUUAUUGCAUAUUGUAAAUAACUGAUGGCUGGGUGCUUUCAUAGGAACUUGAACCCGAGAAGACUGAAGAAAUGAAAUCUAAGGUAAAAGAUGAACUUCCAGAAGAGACUGCUGAAUUUAGCACCACUGAGAACCAUCGCUACACACGAUCCAUGGCCCGAACUUCAGAAACGGGUACGUGUCUAACAGAUCUGCUGAUAUUUAAAACACAGCGUGUAAUUGGGUUGACAAGUAAGGUUUCUAUUUAUUCAUUUAAUUUCCUGUAACAACAGAUGGAGCAAAAUCCAAAGGAGAUGAUCGGCCUAGUUGUUCAGGCUCAAAGCGUCAUGCAGCUCAGGAAAGCACCACACCAAAGAAAAAACAAUCCCCUCCGAAGAAGUGCCUCACGGUAUGAGCAUCUUGUCCAACCACCAAAACUAAUCCAUUAUGAAGCCACAACAGUCUUGUUGAGAGUAAAAGCUUUCCACAGAAUUCCACAUUAUGGUUAUUUGUGGUUGUUUGCAUUCUGUAAAAAGGAUUUUGAAUGAUUUCUUGACGAUUUGAUAAGCAAGUCUUGGAUCGGACCAGACAAUCCAUUGUGUCCAUUUGUUGUGUCCCUGUAGAGUACUGCUCCACACAUCCGAUCAUUCUUGCAAACGGUGCAGAAGAACCAGAUGCUGAUGACGACGCCUGGGUCUCUGGGCCGCAGCACCAUCAUAAAAUCCUUCAUCAAACAAUCUGCCACCAAAACUGACACCAAGGUGAGCAGGGAUAUUUUUGUAUUUCAGAAUAGUCUAAUAUGUUUGGUUGCAUUGACUAUAAAUAUUUGCUAAUGUGCUUCUCCAAGUAGAAGUAAUUUAGUUGGUAAUUGUUGUUCUUGUCUUUCCCCCUCAGUUGGGCUCUGGCUCUGUGGUGAGUAUAAACAGUGAAUCAAGACUGAGGUCAUUUCCAUGUCAGUCACAACUAUUUAUUUCUGUUUGUCUAUCCCCGGGUUACGAGUGGCCAUGUGUUUGUACUGUUCGAAAGUUUGGGGUUGGUAAGAUGGUUUUUAAAGAAAUAAAUGCUUUUAUUGAGCAAGUUUCCA